rnacentral:lncRNA from 1 species
GCUGGGGGAAUGGAAGACGAGGUCAUACUCCCGCGCCAAGGGCGCCUGCCCUAUAACCAUUAGCAGCGCGGGGAUCCCAGGCGCUGCUCCCAGGAAAGAGCAUUUGCAUGGGUUACUGAGAGCAGCGUGACCUGCCGCCUGCCCUUCCAGCGGGGCGUUCCUGAUCGCGGAUGAUCCCUGAUCCCACAUAGUCCCUGAUCCCGCACCUCGGUGCUUCGGUGUCAGGAAGCAGGGGUACCUGGGCGCACACCACACCUUGCCACCCCCGCCCACUUCUCAGAUGUAACCACGGCUGGCGAAGGGCUGCAGCUUGGCCAAGAGAUCGGCAGUGUACAAAACCAUCCUCCUCUGCAGUUCUGGCUGGCUACUGACAUUAUCUCCUGCAGGAGAACCCCGCCCCCCACAGAAUUGGGCCCUCACUCCGAGAGACUCAGGCAUGGUUCUGAGGCCCUUCCCUCCCUUCCUGCUUCCCUCCCUCCUCCUCUCCCAUCGAAAAUUUCACACCUAACUAUGUAAGAGUAGAGCAAAGAGAAUGGUGUACCUCAGCAUGUGUUUACCUUGGGAAAAGCAACAGUGACGGCUGCUGCCACUGGGAGCAGAAGGUCCUCUUGCUAGUAGAUGGCAUCUGCAGAACUUCUGAAAGUGGAAAUAGGGAGCACAUGAGGAUGCUGAGACCACAGGCACGGACAGCACGUGUGCCUGCCCUGGCUCUCAGAGAGCACUGACCAAAAGUGCCUUCACUGCUCACUGCAAUGAGGUCCUGCUGUAUAGCACAGGAACUAUGUCCAAUCACUUGUGACAGAACAUGAUAGAAAAUAACAUGAGAAAAAGAAUGUAUGUGUAUAUGUAGGAGUUCCCAUUGUGGCUCAGUGGUAACAAACCUGACUAGUAUCCAUGAGGAUGUAAGUUCGAUCCCUGGCCUUGCUCAGUGGGUUAAGGAUAUAUCGUUGCUGUGAGGUGUGGUGUAGGUCAUAGACACACAGCUUGGAUCCUGCAUUGCUGUGGCUGUGGUGUAGGCCAGCAGCUGCACCACCAAUUAGACCCCUAACUUGGGAACUUCCAUAUGCCAAUGGUGCGGCCCUGAAAAAACAAAACAAAACAAAGAGGUAUAUAUAUGCAUAACUAGGUCACUUUGCUGUACAGCAGAAAUUGACAGAACACUGUAUUUUUUUUUCUUUGUCUUUUUAGGGCUGCACCCAUGGCAUAAAGAGGUUCCCAGGCUAGGG